AAAUGGCAUCAGAAAAAAAUCUAUCAGUCCCUUUUGACAACACAUUACUCUUUAUUUUUUUUAGCUGUGUGAAUAUGUUGUUUGGUAACCUUUAGGAUUUUACUGUGAAUAGAGUAUUUAUUUUAUCACAUCCAAAUAGCAUAUCCCUGCCUUCCAGUACCCAAAGAACAUAGAGCAAAAUCUACAAUCAAUCAGAGCAAAGUUUUCCUUAAGUACCACCACAAAUUACCAGCACAAGAGGAUUUUGAGGACAAUGCACCCAAACCACUAGCCAGUCACUUCAAACCAGCUGAAAAAAGUCUCAGUUCCUUUAGAAAUCUGCAUCCAAAGUGAAUGAAUUAGCUUCAGGGCUUGACAUCACACCCAUCCUUUGAUAUUCUCCUACACGCUUUUCAAAGAAGUUAGUCUUGCCUUCCAGAGAGAUAUUCUCCAUGAAGUCAAAUGGAUUCUCAGCCUUGAAUAUCUGAAAUAAAUUGGUAACUCAGUCA